rnacentral:rRNA from 1 species
AUACGGAGGACGCGAGCGUUAUCCGGAUUCAUUGGGUUUAAAGGGUGCGCAGGCGGCCGUGCAAGUCAGCGGUGAAAGCCCGGGGCUCAACCCCGGAAGUGCCGUUGAUACUGCAUGGCUGGAAUGCGGUCGAGGCGGGCGGAACGUGGCGUGUAGCGGGGGAAUGGUGAGAUAUGCCACAGAACGCCGAUAGCAGAGGCCGCUCGCCAGGCCUGCAUUGACGCUCGGGCACGAAAGCGUGGGGAGCGAACAGGAUUAGAUCCCCUGGUAGCCCACGCCGUAAACGAUGGGCGCUCGUCGUCGGCGGCAGACAGUCGGCGGCCAAGCGAAAGCGAUAAGUCAUCCACCUGGGGAGUACGUUCGCAAGAAUGAAACUCAAAUGAAUUGACGGGG